ACUCCAGUCGCACACAAGAACGUCGGGUUUGCUUUAUGUACAACACAUGAACGGACACUCAUGGAUGCACACUUUCAUACAGGUGAACGGGGUGACAUUCACCGGUGUAUUUAUACCACCAGCUGCUCUCUUGCCUGGACGUGCUGUUCCAUCCAGACAUCACAGUUAUCACGCCGCAACAUUUCUCCCUCAGCCAUGACUGGAUUCAGAUUGUGCCGUUGCCUCAUUACACCAGCUAGCUACUGCAUCCCAAACACUAACACUAAACAGCACACGACGUACCUUUGAGAGCUAUUCUACGGUGAGGAGCCUGAUUCGACCUCUCUAGUGAAUCCAGCUCUGCCUGUCAGAGCCGUCGCUCAUAUGAGGAGACACACUCGCUACUACAAACAGAAGUGCUGAUGGGGAAAUGUUAUUGAUGUCAUGACGUCUGUCAGGGAAUUUCCCCCCCUGAAUGAGCUGAGCAGAGCUCUUCUCCGCGGCGGCUCUCCUCCUCCACUGGUGUUCCCACGGGCAUCUGAGCGUGUCUCUACAGCUCCAUGGUUGACCCUG